GGCGCUAUGGUGUAGUGGCAGCACAUGGGAUUCUGAUGUGAAAUGUUGCUGACUAUUCCCAUAACCCAGGUUCGAACCCUGGUAGUGCCU